rnacentral:rRNA from 1 species
UACGUAGGGGGCAAGCGUUGUCCGGAAUCAUUGGGCGUAAAGCGCACGUAGGCGGCCUGUUAAGUCGGGUGUGAAAGCCCUGGGCUCAACCCAGGAAGUGCACUCGAAACUGGCGGGCUUGAAUAUGGAAGAGGGUCGCGGAAUUCCCGGUGUAGAGGUGAAAUUCGUAGAUAUCGGGAGGAACACCAGUGGCGAAGGCGGCGACCUGGGCCAAUAUUGACGCUGAGGUGCGAAAGCGUGGGGAGCAAACAGG